AGAAUCAACGCUGGCGGCGUGCCUAACACAUGCAAGUCGAUCGAGAAAGUGGAGCAAUCCAUGAGUAAAGAGGCGCACGGGUGAGUAACACGUGACUAACCUACCUUCGAGUGGGGAAUAACCUGGGGAAACCCGGGCUAAUACCGCAUAAUACCUACGGGUCAAAGGAGCAAUUCGCUUGAAGAGGGGGUCGCGGCAGAUUAGUUAGUUGGCGGGGUAAUGGCCCACCAAGACGAUGAUCUGUAUCCGGCCUGAGAGGGCGCACGGACACACUGGAACUGAAACACGGUCCAGACUCCUACGGGAGGCAGCAGUGGGAAUUUGCGCAAUGGGGGAAACCCUGACGCAGCAACGCCGCGUGGAGGAUGAAGUCCCUUGGGACGUAAACUCCUUUCGACCGGGACGAUUAUGACGGUACCGGAUGAAGAAGCCCCGGCUAACUUCGUGCCAGCAGCCGC
rnacentral:rRNA from 1 species